AUUGAACGCUGGCGGCAGGCUUAACACAUGCAAGUCGAGCGGGGGAAGGUAGCUUGCUACCGGGCCUAGCGGCGGACGGGUGAGUAAUGCUUAGGAAUCUGCCUAUUAGUGGGGGACAACAUCUCGAAAGGGAUGCUAAUACCGCAUACGUCCUACGGGAGAAAGCAGGGGAUCUUCGGACCUUGCGCUAAUAGAUGAGCCUAAGUCGGAUUAGCUAGUUGGUGGGGUAAAGGCCUACCAAGGCGACGAUCUGUAGCGGGUCUGAGAGGAUGAUCCGCCACACUGGGACUGAGACACGGCCCAGACUCCUACGGGAGGCAGCAGUGGGGAAUAUUGGACAAUGGGGGGAACCCUGAUCCAGCCAUGCCGCGUGUGUGAAGAAGGCCUUAUGGUUGUAAAGCACUUUAAGCGAGGAGGAGGCUACUUUAGUUAAUACCUAGAGAUAGUGGACGUUACUCGCAGAAUAAGCACCGGCUAACUCUGUGCCAGCCGCCGCGGUAACAC
rnacentral:rRNA from 1 species